rnacentral:rRNA from 1 species
CGGACAGGUGCGUAACGCGUAGGAACUAUACCCGUGGGUAAGUGGGGGGACAAACCCGGCGAAAGCCGGGCUAAUACCGCAUACGAUCCACGGAUGAAAGCAGGGGACCGCAAGGUCCUUGGCGCUAUCAGAUUAGCCUGCGUCGGAUUAGCUAGUUGGUGAGGUAACGGCUCACCAAGGCAACGAUCCGUAGCUGGUUUGAGAGAACGACCAGCCACACUGGGACUGAGACACGGCCAG